rnacentral:rRNA from 1 species
AUUGAACGCUGGCGGCAUGCCUUACACAUGCAAGUCGAACGGCAGCACGGGUGCUUGCACCUGGUGGCGAGUGGCGAACGGGUGAGUAAUAUAUCGGAACGUACCUUAUUGUGGGGGAUGACGCAGCGAAAGCUGUGCUAAUACCGCAUAAUCCCUAAGGGGGAAAGCGGGGGACCGUAAGGCCUCGCGCAAUUAGAGCGGCCGAUACCUGAUUAGCUAGUUGGUGAGGUAAAGGCUCACCAAGGCAACGAUCAGUAGCUGGUCUGAGAGGACGAUCAGCCACACUGGGACUGAGACACGGCCCAGACUCCUACGGGAGGCAGCAGUGGGGAAUUUUGGACAAUGGGGGCAACCCUGAUCCAGCAAUGCCGCGUGAGUGAAGAAGGCCUUCGGGUUGUAAAGCUCUUUUGUCGGGGAAGAAACAGCAGCUCUAACACAGUUUGCGAAUGACGGUACCUGAAGAAUAAGCACCGGCUAACUACGUGCCAGCAGCCGCCGCGG